rnacentral:lncRNA from 1 species
GCUGCAGCUGGGCCUGGAGGCAGUGGCUCUACAGCAGCAGUGAGAGCCGAGCUGUGGCAGACACAUGCUCUUCCCCUGACUCACGGCUGCCCAGUUCCCUCCAGCGAGGCUGCUGACCUAUUUUUCUAUUAGGAACAACCAGCCAAUGUGAUAAUGAGGAAAAUGUAUUCUGGCCCCUAUGAAGUUUAGUGAAGCCCGAAUGAAGUGGAGGAGGCCACGGAGAUGCACGAGGAAGAGCAUUCCAGGCAGAGGGAACAGCGAGGACAAAAGCCCCCGGGCAGGAAUGGGUGUGCAAGCCUGAGAUCCAACAUGGCGGAGAGCAAGCCGGAAGUGCUGCGCGGGGAUCCUAAGGGAGCACUGAACAGGACAAGCUCAGUUUUGUCCCUCAAACCUCCACAAUCAGGUAAGUCAGUCGGCCUCGCAUAAGAUAUAUGUUUUCCCCACCAAUCUCCAUUCUGAGGAGUGGAGUAGAAACUCCCUCUCCUCUCAUGAAAUGUUGAGUAUCAGGGAGCAAGUGUGUGCUAAAAAGGGUUACCUCGGUGGAACUAGGUUGCUCAAAUCCUGAACAUUCCGAAGGAAGGACUGGCCCCUGACCAGCUCUGGGGAGCUAACUUCUGGGUCUUUGGAAUAUGCCUGAGGAGAGCACCUUUGUGACCUGAGACUUCAGCCCUGCCUACACCUUAUGCUAACAGUGUGGUUUAUGGGGAAGACCUGUUUUUAUUUGCUGGGAGCCCUGGGCCAUGCUGUAUCUCUUUGACUUCUGGAUGGGUGGGGAACUGAGGAAUAAAUUGCUAAGGCCAGUCAUGUAGAUGCUCCAUGCCUAUAUGACUGACCUCCAAUAAAAAUCCUGGCACCAAGACUUGGGUAAGCUUUCCUCAUUGACAGUAAUUGGUGUGUAUUAUUGUCACACGUUGUUGCUGGGAGGACUAAGUGUUGUCCAUGUGACUCCGCAGAGAACUCCUGGAAGUUCACCCCGGUUUCUCCUGAACUCUGCCCUAUUGUCCCUUUUUCCUAUGCUGAUUUUAAUCUGUAUUCUUUUUAUCCCCAAGUUCUGGCAAGUCUUUGAUGUAUUCUUUUCCCAUAAUAAACUGUAACUGUGAGCAUAACAGUUUUUCCAAAUUCUGUGAGCCCUCCUAGCGAAUCAUCAAACCUGAGAGUGGCCUGGGGAGGCCUUAAUAUAAUCAACUAAAUGUGCUUUCCCUCUAAUAGGUCGCAGAGCGGCUUGGCACUCAGUGUCUUCCAGCCCCCUCGUUUCUGAUGAGAAGUUAGCAGAAAGGAAGCAUGCUCUAUGGUUCCAUUUAAACAAAGUUCUAGAAGAGGCUAAAUAAAUCCAUGUUGGAAAAAAAUCAGGACAGUGAAUUGCUUUGGGAGAUUGUCAAUGAAGACUGACCAGAAGGGGCAUGAGGACAGUUUCUGGGGUUAUGGUAGUGUUCUGCAAGAACUCCAUGAGCCAGUCUCUGGUAGCCUCUAAUCUGCUUUCUGUCAAAUUCACAGAGACAGAAAAUCAGAUUAGGAUACAAAUCUACAAAUUUUGUAGAGUUCUUGCCAUUUAUCUAUUUGUUUUCUGUAUGUCUUAUAUGGUUUUUGGUUCCUCAGUUCCUCCAUUACUGCCUUUUUUGUAUUUAGUUGAUUUUUUGUAAUGUUUCAUUUUGAUUUCUUUCUUCUUUCCUUUUCUGUCUUUUUUUAGUAAUUGCCUAAGUGGUUGCCUUGUAAAUUACAUAUGACAUCUUAAACUUGUAACAACCUAGUUUGAAAAAUACCACCUUAGUUUAAGUAGUACAUAAACACUCUCGUCCUAUGUCCAACAGUAAAAGUUAAUGGAAGAUUAUAGCAACCCAAUAAAAAUGAGAUCACUAAGGCCUCAGAUCCUUCAGGAAUAAAAUUUUAGGUUAUUCCUCCAGAUACAGAACGCUGAUCAGCUGAGAGGGUGGCUGAGGGCAAAGGUAGCAAUGAAACAGAUAGUGAAAGAAGGAAGUUAUAAAUAUUAAUGAUGGUCUCUGACUAGUUAUAGUAAAGAAGACUGUAGUAAAUAUGCAUACUUUAGUCUGUUUGUAUUUGUAUAUAUGAAUCAAUUUCAGUUUUAUUUCUCUUUUCUCCAGCUAUUUUACAUAAGGAAAGUGGGUGGUGAUUAACCUCAGAGUCUCCAGGGACAGACUAUCCAGGACUGUGCCUGAAAUAGAAGAGGAAUUAACAUCAUACAGAACUGAAUACGGUGACUGAGGGGAGUUUGUGUCUCCCCUUUUAGGAAAGAAGAUGAGAAUAAGUAUGAAGGAGAGUCAUGUACUGUACAUUAAGCAAAAGCAUGAUGCUGUUAUUUGAAAUGUUAAUUAGAGGUGCCCACUAAAAACUGCUCAGCAAUUUUCUUGGAGACCUCAGUGCUCAUGUUAUUCUUUCCUCUAUCUUAUGUUUUCCUCUCUCCUGCCCUUUUCAGAAACAGUCUACAGCAGAAGCCAUUGACCCUGUUCAAAUUACAGAAGAGCCCUUUUUGAAUUUAUGAAAAUCCUGUGGAAGCUCUGAAGUUGAAUAUACAUGAGAAAAGC